CGUAGAGAGGAAUGAUAAGAGCUCUGAUCUUCUGUGAAAAAAGAACAUUUCGGAUAGCUACAGUGUCAACAUGGCGACGCCGUUGAAAGGAGCAGGCUUUAUGAGGAGACUCUGGAGUGAUAAACCAGAGAUCGCCGGGUCAUUAUGCCUUUUAUUCGCAGGCACAAUGGGGCUGGUGGUCUACGGCCUUCGAUACGACAGAGACACCUUCCACCAGCACAGAGCAGAAUACACGGUGAUCCGCAAAGAAGACGCCAGGCCUGAAGUUGCACAGAAAGGGGUGUAUAACUGACCGAUGUCGUCUUGUUGACUUUGGAGUGUGUGUUGUGUGGCAUCUAAGUAGAGAGUUUGAGAGUAGUGCUUAACACAAGUUGGAUUGGAUUAUGAAUAAGUUCUGUCAACACGGAAGAAAAUAGACAAGAAGUGCUAUGUUAAGUGCUCAGAGUCUGUUCCGAAGACUUGUUUUGAGCAAAGAGUAGAAUGGGAGUGAAAGAUGAUUUCGUUGUCUUCGUGGUACCUUAGAGUUAGAGGAGUGUGGUCAAAUGGGACACACAGACUUCUGUGUUUGUCUCGUAGUUUGUCAUCUACCAUGAAUUGUACGCUAGUUUCAGUUUUCUGUGUUUGUUGUCUGUGAAGAAAACAGUCACAUUGGCAGUCAUGAAGUAAGAAAAACAGUUUGGACUUCUGACUGUUGUGUUUUGUGUUUGUUUCAGUGUCGAGGUUUGGUGUACAUAAAGUGUGUCGUUGAUGAAUAAAGUGUGUCAACAUUAUAUAU